rnacentral:rRNA from 1 species
UGGGGAAUUUUGGACAAUGGGCGCAAGCCUGAUCCAGCCAUGCCGCGUGCGGGAAGAAGGCCUUCGGGUUGUAAACCGCUUUUGUCAGGGAAGAAAUCUUCUGAGUUAAUACCUCGGGAGGAUGACGGUACCUGAAGAAUAAGCACCGGCUAACUACGUGCCAGCAGCCGCGGUAAUACGUAGGGUGCAAGCGUUAAUCGGAAUUACUGGGCGUAAAGCGUGCGCAGGCGGUUUUGUAAGACAGAGGUGAAAUCCCCGGGCUCAACCUGGGAACUGCCUUUGUGACUGCAAGGCUUGAGUGCGGCAGAGGGGGAUGGAAUUCCGCGUGUAGCAGUGAAAUGCGUAGAUAUGCGGAGGAACACCGAUGGCGAAGGCAAUCCCCUGGGCCUGCACUGACGCUCAUGCACGAAAGCGUGGGGAGCAAACAGGAUUAGAUAGCCCUGGUAGUCCACGCCCUAAACGAUGUCAACUGGUUGUUGGGAAGGUUCCUUCUCAGUAACGUAGCUAACGCGUGAAGUUGA